CGUCCGCCGGACUCGGAAUGGGGCGAGACUUUGCGAGGGGCCUCGGGGUGCCCGCGGGAAGUCGCGGGCACAGCCGUGCCCAAAAAUAAGCGCCCGAAGGUCGUGGUGCCAAAACCCCCCAGCGGAAAAAUGGCCAAAAAACGGGUGGGCUAUAGCCUUGGUGGGGGGCGUGGGCGAAGUUCGUCCGCCGGACUUGGAAUGGGGCGAGACUUUGCGAGGGGCCUCGGGGUGCCCGCGGGAAGUCGCGGGCACAGCCGCGUCCAGAAAUAAGCGCCCGAAGGUCGUGGUGCCAAAACCCCCUAGCGGAAAAAUGGCCAAAAAACGGGUGGGCUAUAGCCUUGGUGGGGGGCGCGGGCGAAGUUCGUCCGCCGGACUCGGAAUGGGGCGAGACUUUGCGCGGGGCCUCGGGGCGCCAAAAAUAAGCCGCGGGCAAAGCCGCGUCCAAAAAUAAGCGCCCGAAGGUCGUGGUGCCAAAACCCCCCAGCGGAAAAAUGGCCAAAAAACGGGUGGGCUAUAGCCUUGGUGGGGGGCGCGGGCGAAGUUCGUCCGCCGGACUCGGAAUGGGGCGAGACUUUGCGAGGGGCCUCGGGGCACCAAAAAUAAGCCGCGGGCAAAGCCGCACCCAAAAAUAAGCGCCCGAAGGUCGUGGUGCCAAAAACCCCCUGCGGAAAAAUGGCCAAAAAACGGGUGGGCUAUAGCCUUGGUGGCGUGCGCGGGCGAAGUUCGUCCGCCGGACUCGGAAUGGGGCGAGACUUUGCGAGGGGCCUCGGGGUGCCAAUAAUAAGCCGCGGGCAAGGCCGCGCCCAAAAAUAAGCGCCCGAAGGUCGUGGUGCCAAAACCCCCCAGCGGAAAAAUGGCCAAAAAACGGGUGGGCUAUAGCCUUGGUGGGGGGCGCGGGCGAAGUUCGUCCGCCGGACUUGGAAUGGGGCGAGACUUUGCGAGGGGCCUCGGGGUACCCGCGGGAAGUCGCGGGCACAGCCGCGUCCAGAAAUAAGCGCCCGAAGGUCGUGGUGCCAAAACCCCCCAGCGGAAAAAUGGCCAAAAAACGGGUGGCCUAUAGCCUUGGUGGGGGGCGCGGGCGAAGUUCGUCCGCCGGACUUGGAAUGGGGCGAGACUUUGCGAGGGGCCUCGGGGUACCCGCGGGAAGUCGCGGGCACAGCCGCGUCCAGAAAUAAGCGCCCGAAGGUCGUGGUGCCAAAACCCCCCAGCGGAAAAAUGGCCAAAAAACGGGUGGCCUAUAGCCUUGGUGGGGGGCGCGGGCGAAGUUCGUCCGCCGGACUCGGAAUGGGGCGAGACUUUGCGCGGGGCCUCGGGGCGCCAAAAAUAAGCCGCGGGCAAAGCCGCGCCCAAAAAUAAGCGCCCGAAGGUCGUGGUGCCAAAACCCCCCAGCGGAAAAAUGGCCAAAAAACGGGUGGGCUAUAGCCUUGGUGGGGGGCGCGGGCGAAGUUCGUCCGCCGGAUUCGGAAUGGGGCGAGACUUUGCGAGGGGCCUCGGGGCACCAAAAAUAAGCCGCGGUCAAAGCCGCACCCAAAAAUAAGCGCCCGAAGGUCGUGGUGCCAAAAACCCCCUGCGGAAAAAUGGCCAAAAAACGGGUGGGCUAUAGCCUUGGUGGCGGGCGCGGGCGAAGUUCGUCCGCCGGACUCGGAAAUGGGCGAGACUUUGCGAGGGGCCUCGGGGUGCCAAAAUAAGCCGCGGGCAAGGCCGCGCCCAAAAUAAGCGCCCGAAAGUCGUGGUGCCCAAACCCCCAGCGGAAAAAUGGCCAAAUAUGGGUGGGCUAUAGCCUUGGUGGGGGGCGCGGGCGAAGUUCGUCCGCCGGACUCGGAAUGGGGCGAGACUUUGCGCGGGGUCUCGGGGCGCCAAAAAUAAGCCGCGGGCAAAGCCGCACCCAAAAGUAAGCGCCCGAAGGUCGUGGUGCCAAAACCCCCCAGCGGAAAAAUGGCCAAAAAACGGGUGGGCUAUAGCCUUGGUGGGGGGCGCGGGCGAAGUUCGUCCGCCGGACUCAAGGUAUGUUCGCACGCGAGACUUUGCGAGGAGCCUCGGGGCACCAAAAAUAAGCCGCGGGCAAAGCCGCGCCCAAAAAUAAGCGCCCGAAGGUCGUGGUGCCAAAAACCCCCUGCGGAAAAAUGGCCAAAAAACGGGUGGGCUAUAGCCUUGGUGGGGGGCGCGGGCGAAGUUCGUCUGCCGGACUCGGAAUGGGGCGAGACUUUGCGAGGGGCCUCGGGGUGCCAAAAAUAAGCCGCGGGCAAGGCCGUGCCCAAAAAUAAGCGCCCGAAGGUCGUGGUGCCAAAACCCCCCAGCGGAAAAAUGGCCAAAAAACGGGUGGGCUAUACCCUUGGUGGGGGGCGCGGGCGAAGUUCGUCCGCCGGACUCGGAAUGGGGCGAGACUUUGCGCGCGGCCUCGGAGCGACAAAAAUAAGCCGCGGGCAAAGCCGCGCCCAAAAAUAAGCGCCCGAAGGUCGUGGUGCCAAAACCCCCCAGCGGAAAAAUGGCCAAAAAACGGGUGGGCUAUAGCCUUGGUGGGGGGCGCGGGCGAAGUUCGUCCGCCGGACUCGGAAUGGGGCGAGACUUUGCGCGGGGCCUCGGGGCGCCAAAAAUAAGCCGCGGGCAAAGCCGCGCCCAAAAAUAAGCGCCCGAAGGUCGUGGUGCCAAAACCCCCCAGCGGAAAAAUGGCCAAAAAACGGGUGGGCUAUAGCCUUGGUGGGGGGCGCGGGCGAAGUUCGUCCGCCGGAUUCGGAAUGGGGCGAGACUUUGCGAGGGGCCUCGGGGCACCAAAAAUAAGCUGCGGGCAAAGCCGCACCCAAAAAUAAGCGCCCGAAGGUCGUGGUGCCAAAACCCCCCAGCGGAAAAAUGGCCAAAAAACGGGUGGGCUAUAGCCUUGGUGGGGGGCGCGGGCGAAGUUCGUCCGCCGGAUUCGGAAUGGGGCGAGACUUUGCGAGGGGCCUCGGGGCACCAAAAAUAAGCCGCGGGCAAAGCCGCACCCAAAAAUAAGCGCCCGAAGGUCGUGGUGCCAAAAACCCCCUGCGGAAAAAUGGCCAAAAAACGGGUGGGCUAUAGCCUUGGUGGGGGGCGCGGGCGAAGUUCGUCUGCCGGACUCGGAAUGGGGCGAGACUUUGCGAGGGGCCUCGGGGAGCCAAAAAUAAGCCGCGGGCAAGGCCGCGCCCAAAAAUAAGCGCCCGAAGGUCGUGGUGCCAAAACCCCCCAGCGGAAAAAUUGCCAAAAAACGGGUGGGCUAUAGCCUUGGUGGGGGGCGCGGGCGAAGUUCGUCCGCCGGACUCGGAAUGGGGCGAGACUUUGCGAGGGGCCUCGGGGUGCCCGCGGGAAGUCGCGGGCACAGCCGCGCCCAAAAAUAAGCGCCCGAAGGUCGUGGUGCCAAAACCCCCCAGCGGAAAAAUGGCCAAAAAACGGGUGGGCUAUAGCCCUGGUGGGGGGCGCGGGCGAUGUUCGUCCGCCGGACUCGGAAUGGGGCGAGACUUUGCGAGGGGCCUCGGGGCACCAAAAAUAAGCCGCGGGCAAAGCCGUGCCCAAAAAUAAGCACCCGAAGGUCGUGGUCCCAAAACCCCCCAGCGGAAAAAUGGCCAAAAAACGGGUGGGCUAUAGCCUUGGUUGGGGGCGCGGGUGAAGUUCGUCCGCCGGACUCGGAAUGGGGCGAGACUUUGCUCGGGGCCUCGGGGCACCAAAAAUAAACCGCGGGCAAAGCCGCGCCCAAAAAUAAGCGCCCGAAGGUCGUGGUGCCAAAACCCCCCAGCGGAAAAAUGGCCAAAAAACGGGUGGGCUAUAGCCUUGGUGGGGGGCGCGGGCGAAGUUCGUCCGCCGGACUCGGAAUGGGGCGAGACUUUGCGAGGGGCCUCGGGGCACCAAAAAUAAGCCGCGGGCAAAGCCGUGCCCAAAAAUAAGCGCCCGAAGGUCGUGGUCCCAAAACCCCCCAGCGGAAAAAUGGCCAAAAAACGGGUGGGCUAUAGCCUUGGUGGGGGGCGCGGGUGAAGUUCGUCCGCCGGACUCGGAAUGGGGCGAGACUUUGCUCGGGGCCUCGGGGCACCAAAAAUAAACCGCGGGCAAAGCCGCGCCCAAAAAUAAGCGCCCGAAGGUCGUGGUGCCAAAACCCCCCAGCGGAAAAAUGGCCAAAAAACGGGUGGGCUAUAGCCUUGGUGGGGGGCGCGGGCGAAGUUCGUCCGCCGGACUCGGAAUGGGGCGAGACUUUGCGAGGGGCCUCGGGGCACCAAAAAUAAGCCGCGGGCAAAGCCGUGCCCAAAAAUAAGCGCCCGAAGGUCGUGGUCCCAAAACCCCCCAGCGGAAAAAUGGCCAAAAAACGGGUAGGCUAUAGCCUUGGUGGGGGGCGCGGGUGAAGUUCGUCCGCCGGACUCGGAAUGGGGCGAGACUUUGCUCGGGGCCUCGGGGCGCCAAAAAUAAGCCGCGGGCAAAGCCGCGCCCAAAAAUAAGCGCCCGAAGGUCGUGGUACCAAAACCCCCCAGCAGAAAAAUGGCCAAAAAACGGGUGGGCUAUAGCCUUGGUGGGGGGCGCGGGCGAAGUUCGUCCGCCGGACUCGGAAUGGGGCGAGACUUUGCGAGGGGCCUCGGGGUGCCCGCGGGAAGUCGCGGGCACAGCCGCGUCCAAAAAUAAGCGCCCGAAGGUCGUGGUGCCAAAACCCCCCAGCGGAAAAAUGGCCAAAAAACGGGUGGGCUAUAGCCUUGGUGGGGGGCGCGGGCGAAGUUCGUCCGCCGGACUCGGAAUGGGGUGAGACUUUGCGAGGGGCCUCGGGGUGCCAAAAAUAAGCCGCGGGCAAGGCCGCGCCCAAAAAUAAGCGCCCGAAGGUCGUGGUGCCAAAACCCCCCAGCGGAAAAAUGGCCAAAAAACGGGUGGGCUAUAGCCUUGGUGGGGGGCGCGGGCGAAGUUCGUCCGCCGGACUCGGAAUGGCU
rnacentral:lncRNA from 1 species